GUGAGCGAGAGGGAGGGAGGGAGGCAGAGGCCCGAGGGCGGGGUUCCGGGCGGUCCGGCCGGUUGCCCGAGGCUGCGCAGCAGGCUGCGGGGUCCGUGCCCGGAGGCGGGGGCUUUCCCUCCGUAACGGCCAAAACCCGGAGCCCGCCCCCCGGAGCGGGCAGAGCCGGCGCGCAGCCUUCCUUCGGACGAGGCCCCCGUGCGGCGCCCGGUGAGCCCGCGGACCCGAGGGCGGCCCUGGACUGGACGCUUCACCGGACCGGACGCGGGCUGCGACCCUCCCGGGUCCCCGCGAAGCCCGGGGCGCCGGCGGGCAGGGUUCGCCCCUGCGCCUCCUCGCACACCCACGGGCUCCAUUAGGGCAGGAACGUUCACGUGUCCCGAUGCAUGGCUGUAUAUCCUAGGUCUUCCGUGUGAGCUGCUGACAGAUGGGUUGUGUGGUUCCACGACCGGGAAACGACACCAAGCUGCCGAAGUGCCCCGCGGUACAUAGUUGUGCAUUUUAGGUUGUGGCUCCCUCCAGCUGUGGCAUGCAGGAUGCCACCCCAGCAUGGCCUGAUGAGCAGUGCCAUCUCCGCACCCGGGACCCAAACUGGCGAAACCUUGGACCACUUAAGAAAAGCACAUGAACCCAGCCACUUGGCCACGGGGCCAGCCCGCCACAUAGUAUUUUUAUGCUUAUCAUGGAUCCUUCUCCCCGCUCCAAGGGUGAAGUGAGUCAGGAUGGUUUGUUCAUGCUGUUCAACAAUUACCAAAGCCUGUCUGCAUUGCUGGUAAAAGUGACUCACAUGCGGUGGCUGGUUCAUGGAACAAGAGCACAGAAAAGUGGUUUUGAUGAAGGUAUGGAGAGAAGCCCAAAGCACCCCUGGAACAGAUGGCAGCUCUGUGAGCAGCUGAGAAGGGCUUUCUUCUUCUCCUAGUGACUCUGCUUCAUAUUUUCCAUCUCUUCUCUUUCCAGGAGCAUUUCCUUCUAAUUCCACACAUUAUGUUAUCAGUAGAGGACGUUUUAGAUACUGGUUAAGAGUUGGACCUGGUGAUUUUUGUGGUUUUUUUUGGCCAUCUUAGUUUAUGUGUUUCAGGCUAAUUUGACCAUACAAGCCAAGGAUCAUCAUUCUGCAGCAAGCCUCAGCAUGCCUCUCCCAUGCUCACUGGCAGCCAUACUCUACAUAUACUGCCCUUGUAUCCACCUUCUGAGAUAGCCUGCAGUUGAAGUCGCCUAACCAAGCAGGAUCCACUCAGUGCCACAGAAGGAGUUAGGCAAUUAUGGAAUCCUCCUUCCUCAUUUGCACUCACGGUACUUGGGGAGAAGACAACAGAGUCUGUUUUUUGGUUUUUUUUUUAAAGAUUUUAUUUUUUCCUUUUUCUCCCCAAAGUCCCCCGGUACAUAGUUGUAUAUUCUUUGUUGUUGGUCCUUCUAGUUGUGGCAUGUGGGACGCUGCCUCAGCGUGGUUUGACGAGCAGUGUCAUGUCCGCGCCCAGGAUACAAACCAACGAAACAAUGGGCCGCCUGCAGCGGAGCGCGCGAACUUAACCGCUCGGCCACGGGGCCAGCCCCACAACAGAGUCUGUUUUGAGAUGGUUGUGUAUGUAGUUGAAUUAAUCUUCUCCCCAGUAGUUUUUUAAUAAUUAUUGCAAAUUUCAAUUCUUCAUAUGCACCUCUGUCACUUUUGAAAUUUAUAUUUUGG
ensembl:lncRNA